CGUAGGUGGCAAGCGUUGUCCGGAAUUAUUGGGCGUAAAAGCGCGCGCAGGCGGCCUCUUAAGUCUGAUGUGAAAGCCCCCGGCUCAACCGGGGAGGGCCAUUGGAAACUGGGAGGCUUGAGUAUAGGAGAGAAGAGUGGAAUUCCACGUGUAGCGGUGAAAUGCGUAGAGAUGUGGAGGAACACCAGUGGCGAAGGCGACUCUUUGGCCUAUAACUGACGCUGAGGCGCGAAAGCGUGGGGGAGCAAACAGGAUU
rnacentral:rRNA from 1 species